UGAGCAAUCUGCCCUUCUCUUUGGAAUAAGCGUUGGAAACGACGUCUAAUGCCGAAUACGACCUCCUUUCGCAUGAUCGGAGGUGGAAAGCUCCGGCGGAGAAGGAUGAGCUCGCGGCCUAUCAGCUAGUUGGUGUGGGUAAUGGCCCACAAGGCGACGACGGGUAGCCGGCCUGAGAGGGUGACCGGCCACACUGGGACUGAGACACGGUCCAGACCUCCGUACGGGAGGCAGCG
rnacentral:rRNA from 1 species